GGAGGCGUCGCAUAGUGGCCUAGUGCGCCCGCCUGCUAAGCGGGUUGAGGAUAAAACCUCUCGCGGGUUCAAAUCCCGCCGCCUCCGCCG
rnacentral:tRNA from 1 species